rnacentral:sRNA from 1 species
GCCAGAGGCUGGAUCUCAGGGAUGCCAGCUCCCCAGCGGAAGCACAGGCGUGGAGGCUUCUCUCACAGGUGUUUCCCCACCCCGCAGACGGCGAUGACCCCCCAGCCCGCCGGACCCCCGGACGGAGGCUGGGGCUGGGUGGUGGCGGCCGCAGCCUUCGCGAUAAACGGGCUGUCCUACGGGCUGCUGCGCUCGCUGGGCCUUGCCUUCCCUGACCUUGCCGAGCACUUUGACCGAAGCGCCCAGGACACUGCGUGGAUCAGCGCCCUGGCCCUGGCCGUGCAGCAGGCAGCCAGUGAGGGGGGCCCUGAGGGGGGAGACGGAAACGGGGAGGAGGAGCCGUGAGUGGAGGGAUGGGAGACCCACCUGAUUACCCGACCACCUGAGAAAGGGCGACGGGCUCUAGAAAAGAGUGCAUCUUGAGGUCAAGGAGAAGAACCAUUAGUUCGAGGGAGGCAAACAGCCAAUGAGAAGUGUUGGAGAGAGUUUGGGGGCCCGGGGGCGUGUCUUCCGUUGACUCCGCCCCCUUUCAGGCCCCGUGGGCAGCGCCCUGAGCACGCGCUGGGGGGCCCGCCCCGUGGUGAUGGUUGGGGGCGUCCUCGCCUCGCUGGGCUUCGUCUUCUCGGCUUUCGCCCUCAGUCUGCUGCAUCUCUACCUCGGCUUGGGCCUCCUCGCUGGCUUCCUAAGGGAUGAGACAGGAGACUUCACCGCCUCUUUCCUCGUGUCUGGCUCUUUGAUCCUCUCCGGCAGCUUCAUCUACAUAGGGUUGCCCAGGGCGCUGCCCUCCUGUGGUCCAGCCUCCCCUCCAGCCACGCCUCCCCCAGAGAGGGGGGAGCUGCUUCCCGCUCCCCAGGCAGUCUUGCUGUCCCCAGGAGGCCCUGGCUCCACUCUGGACACCACUUGUUGAUUAUUUUCUUGUUUGAGCUC